rnacentral:rRNA from 1 species
ACUCCUACGGGAGGCAGCAGUGGGGAAUAUUGGACAAUGGGCGCAAGCCUGAUCCAGCCAUGCCGCGUGAGUGAUGAAGGCCCUAGGGUUGUAAAGCUCUUUUGUGCGGGAAGAUAAUGACGGUACCGCAAGAAUAAGCCCCGGCUAACUUCGUGCCAGCAGCCGCGGUAAUACGAAGGGGGCUAGCGUUGCUCGGAAUCACUGGGCGUAAAGGGUGCGUAGGCGGGUCUUUAAGUCAGGGGUGAAAUCCUGGAGCUCAACUCCAGAACUGCCUUUGAUACUGAAGAUCUUGAGUUCGGGAGAGGUGAGUGGAACUGCGAGUGUAGAGGUGAAAUUCGUAGAUAUUCGCAAGAACACCAGUGGCGAAGGCGGCUCACUGGCCCGAUACUGACGCUGAGGCACGAAAGCGUGGGGAGCAAACAGGAUUAGAUACCCUGGUAGGCUCUGC